UUGAACGCUGGCGGCAUGCUUUACACAUGCAAGUCGAACGGUAGCAGGCCUUCGGGUGCUGACGAGUGGCGAACGGGUGAGUAAUGCAUCGGAACGUGCCCAAUCGUGGGGGAUAACGUAGCGAAAGUUACGCUAAUACCGCAUACGCCCUGAGGGGGAAAGCAGGGGAUCUUCGGACCUCGCGCGAUUGGAGCGGCCGAUGUCGGAUUAGCUAGUUGGUGGGGUAAAGGCCUACCAAGGCGACGAUCCGUAGCGGGUCUGAGAGGAUGAUCCGCCACACUGGGACUGAGACACGGCCCAGACUCCUACGGGAGGCAGCAGUGGGGAAUUUUGGACAAUGGGGGCAACCCUGAUCCAGCCAUGCCGCGUGAGUGAAGAAGGCCUUCGGGUUGUAAAGCUCUUUCAGACGGAAAGAAAACGCAUCGGUGAAUACCCGGUGUGGAUGACGGUACCGUAAGAAGAAGCACCGGCUAACUACGU
rnacentral:rRNA from 1 species